GGCUUUAGCCAAAAAGUAUUAAAGGUCUCGCCUGCCCAGUGAAACAUUUUUAAACGGCCGCGGUAUCCUAACCGUGCAAAGGUAGCGUAAUCACUUGUCUUCUAAAUAAAGACUUGUAUGAACGGCUAAAUGAGGACAAACCUGUCUCUUACAGCCAAUCAGUGAAACUGAUCCUCCAGUACAAAAGCUGGAAUAAACACAUAAGACGAGAAGACCCUGUGGAGCUUUAAACGAACGCUAAUACACACAUAAGUUGUCCCUUAGCCUUUAGUUUUAAGUUGGGGCGACUUCGGAACAAAACAAAACUUCCGAGCACAGAACCACCACUUCUCAUUAAGGCCAACAAGCCAAAAUACAAGCCGACCCAGUCACACUGAUCAACGAACCAAGUUACCCCAGGGAUAACAGCGCCAUCUUCUUCGAGAGUCCUUAUCGACAAGAAGGUUUACGACCUCGAUGUUGGAUCAGGACACCCAAAUGGUGUAGCCGCUAUUAAAGGUUCGUUUGUUCAACGAUUAACAGUC
rnacentral:rRNA from 1 species